CGACCGCUGGCGGCGUGCCUAAUACAUGCAAGUCGAGCGAAGUUUUUCUGGUGCUUGCACUAGAAAAACUUAGCGGCGAACGGGUGAGUAACACGUAAAGAACCUGCCUCAUAGACUGGGACAACUAUUGGAAACGAUAGCUAAUACCGGAUAACAGUAUUUCUCGCAUGAGAGAUAUUUAAAAGUUGGUUAUGCUAACACUAUGAGAUGGCUUUGCGGUGCAUUAGCUAGUUGGUGGGGUAAAGGCCCACCAAGGCGACGAUGCAUAGCCGACCUGAGAGGGUGAUCGGCCACACUGGGACUGAGACACGGCCCAGACUCCUACGGGAGGCAGCAGUAGGGAAUCUUCCGCAAUGGGCGAAAGCCUGACGGAGCAACGCCGCGUGAGUGAAGAAGGAUUUCGGUUCGUAAAGCUCUGUUGUUAGGGAAGAAUGGAUAUGUAGUAACUAUACAUGUAAGAGACGGUACCUAACCAGAAAGCCACGGCUAACUACGUG
rnacentral:rRNA from 1 species